rnacentral:rRNA from 1 species
UACGUAGGGGGCAAGCGUUGUCCGGAAUCAUUGGGCGUAAAGCGCGUGUAGGCGGCUCGAUAAGUCCGUUCUGAAAGUCCAGGGCUCAACCCUGGGAUGCGGAUGGAUACUGUCGAGCUCGAGUCCGGAAGAGGCGAGUGGAAUUCCUGGUGUAGCGGUGAAAUGCGCAGAUAUCAGGAGGAACACCAAUGGCGAAGGCAGCUCGCUGGGACGUGACUGACGCUGAGACGCGAAAGCGUGGGAGCAAACAGG